GGCAGUUGAGGGUGCCCUGGCAGGCGGGUGCCGGGCCUCGGCCUCUGGCUAUGUCUGCAGGGCCCUUGCAGCAGGACCCUCCUUUCUGGCCACCCUGCACAAAGGGUGACCAGGCCCUGGAGGGCUUCGGAGGGUCAGAGCAUGCCUGCAGGGGUCCUGGUGGCCCUGGCUGGGCUCUGGGAGGGCAGACAUGGCUUCUGUGCCCACAAAAACCAGGCUUCCCUUGGGGCACAGCUUGUGAAGGAACGUUGGCCCCUCUUUCCUCUGUCUAUUUUAGGGAGCAAAGAAGACUUUGCAGGAUCCUGCCUGAGAGUCGUAACAAACGCACAUGCUUCUCCCGCGUGGGCCGUGCUUCUUAUUCGUUUCUAUUGUUUGGAGCCUCCUGGAUGACGGUGACAGGCUCUGAUAUGGGCUUUGAGGGGCCACCUGGUGGGGAGUGCACCAGGUGCCCCGGCGCUCACCAGGUGCCCAGCGGGGCUGCCUGUCCUCCUGAGGGCACCGGCGUCACCCAGUGGAUGCUGAGAGGAGCUCCUGUUGUGCAGAUGCACGAAGGGGACACAGAUGUGGCUGUUUUGAGGGACAGAUGGCUCCCCCAGAGCCCCAGUCUCAGCACACCCUGCUUUUGCUGGCCCGGCACUAUUUACGUCCGGGGCGAUGGCCGGGAGCUGCACUGCUGAUGGCAUAAUUUCCAUUUCUUAACGCACCGAUGGUUUCCACAUGGACUGCACUGGAGCUAACUUGGACUGCGUCUUUUAUCGACACCCCCUGGGCAAUAAAGACGCCAGCUCUGUAUCCUGAUCAUGCCGACGCCCUCACCCUCGGCAAGGUGACUGCUCCAGAACGGGCCCGGAUCCUGAGCCCCGAGUAUGCGUGGUUCACAUGGCGGCGGGGCUUCAGACCUCCACCUGCCACGUGCCAUUUCCGAGGGCAAGGUGGGAGAUUGGAAAAUGUAUUUUUAGAAGCCCAGCAGGCAUUCCUGGUGUGUAAAUAAACAUCCAUCCACCUGGA